UCUUCCCUAAUUAACAAAUAUAAGCGACAUAAGCUAACUAAACAUUGAUAGGUGAACCUGCGGAAGGAUCAUUAUUGAGAUAGGGUCUUUAGGCUCGAACCUCCCACCCUUUGUAAAUUUACCUGUUUCUUUGGCGGGCCGUUGUGCAUUAUUAUUGCCUCUAUUGACUUCGGUGAAUAAGUGCUCGUCAAAGACCCUUAAAAUUCAAUUUAUGCGUGACGUCCGAGAUAACAUUUAAUUGUUAAAACUUUCAACAACGGAUCUCUUGGUUCUGGCAUCGAUGAAGAACGCAGCGAAAUGCGAUAAGUAAUGUGAAUUGCAGAAUUCAGUGAAUCAUCGAAUCUUUGAACGCACAUUGCGCCCUCUGGUAUUCCGGGGGGCAUGCCUGUUCGAGCGUCAUUACACCCCUUAAGCUUAGCUUAGUAUUAGGUGCUCACCCUUUGGGUGGUCCUUAAAAUUAGCGGCGAUGCGGUCGGCCUUUUAUGCGUAGUAAAACUUUUGUUCUCGCAUUUGGCUUGGGUGUAUCAGCCGGAUAAUUAUUUAUUUUCUAUGAAUUGACCUCGGAUCAGGUAGGGAUACCCGCUGAACUUAAGCAUAUCAAUAAGCGGAGGAAAAGAAACCAACAGGGAUUGCCUUAGUAACGGCGAGUGAAGCGGCAACAGCUCAAAUUU
rnacentral:rRNA from 1 species